rnacentral:lncRNA from 1 species
AGGAGAGACAGGAACCGAGGGAGAGGUCAAGGUCAGUGAGGAGAGACAGGAACCGAGUGAGAGGUCAAGCUCAGUGGGGAGAGAUGGAACCGAGUGAGAGGUCAAGGUCAGUGAGGAGAGACAGGAACCGAGUGAGAGGUCAAGCUCAGUGGGGAGAGAUGGAACCGAGUGAGAGGUCAAGGUCAGUGGGGAGAGACAGGAACCGAGGGAGAGGUCAGGGUCAGAGGAGGAGAGACAGGAACCGAGGGAGAGGUCAAGGUCAGUGGAGGAGAGACAGGAACCGAGGGAGAGGUCAGGGUCAGAGGAGGAGAGACAGGAACCGAGGGAGAGGUCAAGGUCAGUGAGGAGAGACGGGAACCGAGGGAGAGGUCAAGGUCAGUGACAAGAGAUGGGAACCGAGCAAGAGCGUGAGGGGCAGCCGAGGGUCAGAGGAGGAGAGACGGGAACCCAGGGAGAGGGCAGGGUCAGAGGAGGAGAGACGGGAACUUGGGAGCAGAGUAAGAGGUCAGGGUCGGUGAGGAGAGAUGGGAACUGAGCGAGGGGUCAAAUCAGGGAGGAGCCAUGUGUUCUUGAUCAUGCCCCCCUGAAGGAGCCUUGGUACAAAUAAUAACUCAACAUAAAAGACGCUGACAUCA